UACAGAGGGUUCAAACGUUGUUCGGAAUUACUGGGCGUAAAGCGCGUGUAGGCAGCUCGGAAAGUCGGGUGUGAAAGCCCUGGGCUCAACCUAGGAAGUGCACUCGAAACUUCCGAGCUGGAGUGCUGGAGAGGAAGGCGGAAUUCUCGGUGUAGAGGUGAAAUUCGUAGAUAUCGAGAGGAACACCGGUGGCGAAGGCGGCCUUCUGGACAGUAACUGACGCUGAGACGCGAAAGCGUGGGGAGCAAACAGG
rnacentral:rRNA from 1 species